rnacentral:snRNA from 1 species
CAGCUGCGCGGUAAGCACAUAGCGAACUAUUCUUUCGCCUUUUACUAAAGAAUACCGUGUGUUUGCCGCUAUUCAACCGAACCAUUACCAACUAUAUUUUUAGGCGGAUAAUCAAAUUUUAACCA